rnacentral:rRNA from 1 species
AUUGAACGCUGGCGGCAGGCUUAACACAUGCAAGUCGAGCGGAGAGAGGUAGCUUGCUACUGAUCUUAGCGGCGGACGGGUGAGUAAUGCUUAGGAAUCUGCCUAUUAGUGGGGGACAACAUUUCGAAAGGAAUGCUAAUACCGCAUACGUCCUACGGGAGAAAGCAGGGGAUCUUCGGACCUUGCGCUAAUAGAUGAGCCUAAGUCGGAUUAGCUAGUUGGUGGGGUAAAGGCCUACCAAGGCGACGAUCUGUAGCGGGUCUGAGAGGAUGAUCCGCCACACUGGGACUGAGACACGGCCCAGACCCCUACGGGAGGCAGCAGUGGGGAAUAUUGGACAAUGGGCGCAAGCCUGAUCCAGCCAUGCCGCGUGUGUGAAGAAGGCCUUAUGGUUGUAAAGCACUUUAAGCGAGGAGGAGGCUACUUUAGUUAAUACCUAGAGAUAGUGGACGUUACUCGCAGAAUAAGCACCGGCUAACUCUGUGCCAGCAGCCGCGGUAAUACAGAGGGUGCAAGCGUUAAUCGGAUUUACUGGGCGUAAAGCGCGCGUAGGCGGCUAAUUAAGUCAAAUGUGAAAUCCCCGAGCUUAACUUGGGAAUUGCAUUCGAUACUGGUUAGCUAGAGUGUGGGAGAGGAUGGUAGAAUUCCAGGUGUAGCGGUGAAAUGCGUAGAGAUCUGGAGGAAUACCGAUGGCGAAGGCAGCCAUCUGGCCUAACACUGACGCUGAGGUGCGAAAGCAUGGGGAGCAAACAGGAUUAGAUACCCUGGUAGUCCAUGCCGUAAACGAUGUCUACUAGCCGUUGGGGCCUUUGAGGCUUUAGUGGCGCAGCUAACGCGAUAAGUAGACCGCCUGGGGAGUACGGUCGCAAGACUAAAACUCAAAUGAAUUGACGGGGGCCCGCACAAGCGGUGGAGCAUGUGGUUUAAUUCGAUGCAACGCGAAGAACCUUACCUGGCCUUGACAUAGUAAGAACUUUCCAGAGAUGGAUUGGUGCCUUCGGGAACUUACAUACAGGUGCUGCAUGGCUGUCGUCAGCUCGUGUCGUGAGAUGUUGGGUUAAGUCCCGCAACGAGCGCAACCCUUUUCCUUAUUUGCCAGCGAGUAAUGUCGGGAACUUUAAGGAUACUGCCAGUGACAAACUGGAGGAAGGCGGGGACGACGUCAAGUCAUCAUGGCCCUUACGGCCAGGGCUACACACGUGCUACAAUGGUCGGUACAAAGGGUUGCUACCUAGCGAUAGGAUGCUAAUCUCAAAAAGCCGAUCGUAGUCCGGAUUGGAGUCUGCAACUCGACUCCAUGAAGUCGGAAUCGCUAGUAAUCGCGGAUCAGAAUGCCGCGGUGAAUACGUUCCCGGGCCU